CAUCAACGCCCUCAAGAGCUUCCACAAGCCUGUCAGUUCCUACCAGGAGGCCUGUAGCAUCCCAGGAGUUGGCAGGCGAAUGGCAGAGAAGGUCAUGGAGAUCCUGGAGAGUGGGCAUCUGCGGAAGCUGGACCACAUCAGCGACAGCGUGCCUGUCUUAGAGCUCUUCUCCAACAUCUGGGGAGCCGGGACGAAGACUGCCCAGAUGUGGUACCAUCAGGUCAUACCAGCCCGUCUGCCUCUUGAGUCUUGCUGUUACAAAGCCUCUGCCCUCACCCCUUCCUGUUCACCUGCCAGAGCCUGGGUCCCUCUGUUUUCCCACCCUGGGUCCUCAUGGGAGUGAAAUCCAACUUCAAGGACAGCAGAGCUCACACUGGUCCCCCUCUGGUCCCCAUCCCGUCCCCAGAACAGGAAUGUGGCUUAGUGUCCUUGACCUGUGGACAGAAACUAUAAACACAUUCCUCACAGGCAGCAAUCUGUGAGUUCCAGACCAGUUAGUGCUCUGCAGAGUAACUCUGUCCCCAAAAGAAAAGAUAAAAGAAUAACCAC
rnacentral:lncRNA from 1 species